CUUUGGCAGGGCUCGGAUGGAAAGCGGCUGCUGGAAGCAGGCCAGCUUCAUCUGGUUGGAAUUGGGUUUGACACACGUUUCCAAACCUGGUUACAGAGCCGGGGUCAUCGCCACCUAAAACUGCAAUGCACCGGGACAGAGCUGCCCGCCGACAGUCUGCUCACGGACAAGACAGUCUGAACGUGGCCACCCGCCCGGCCUCAGGUUGCCUAGCCACGCGUGCCAGGAGAGAGCUGGCACCUUCUGCAAGCAGCACGAAUCGCCCGGCACAGGCCACGUGUGGGAGAGAAUACUUCAGAGAUGGAUUGACUGUGUCUUCUAUCUGUGAGUGCGUAUGGGUUCUUCUGUUCCCUUAAGACCCAACUUCGGGUGCCCCAGGGUAAGAUCCAUCUUUUGAAAAAAAAAAUUUUUUUUAAUGGAGGAAACAACAGAUUUUAAUUAUCUAUUUAUGUAGAGACAAGGUCUCCCUAUGUUGUUCAGGCUGGCCUUGAAUUCACUAUGUAGCCCGGACUGGCCUCGAACUCACAGAGAUCCUCCUGCCUCAGCCUCCGGAGUGCUGGGAUUACAGGCGUGCGCCACCACGCCCUGCAGGAAACAACUUUCAAAUUGGGUGUUGAAGUUUUAGGGCGCUGAUACAUAGCACCUCUUUUCUCCGCCAAACACAGAGUGAAUUGAGAGUAGACACAGAAGGCUGUCAGCGGUCCACUGUGGCCCAUGAAGUCCGACAGAUGGAUAUGAAAUGGCAGGUUCACUGCUGAUCACGUAAGUACCUGGGAGUACACAGCAUAAUUCGCUUCCUGGAGCUGAUCCCAGUUGGCCGAAUGCCUGACACUGGUACACAGGGCAGCCUUGGGUCUAUCUGCCCAGUGGCGUCUGCCCUGGCUAACUUAGGGUCUGGAGUUGAGGAGAAGAAGAGGGUGCUUCUCAGGCCAGCCCCGAAGAGAGGGAGGUAGGGGCAGAGCUCCAAAACUCACUGGGCUUCGUCCCCCAGACCCUCCGCUGGAGCCACCGCCCUCCCAGUGGGGGGGGGCUCCGCCCCGGGCCGGCGGGCAAGAGGGCUCUCGAAGAGAUCUGGAAGAGAAGCCUCUACCCCGAGCUCUGGGAGGCCCUUCUCACCAACAGAACCGGGCAGGGCCAAGCCUGAGAGCAGCUGGAAACCCCAGAAUGUCCCCCUCGCCCCACUCUGCCCCUGCCCCUUCCUCCAGCAUCAGGAGGACAGGGCCAAGAACCCUUGCACUGCAUCUCUGCACACUGUGAGGCCAUCAGCUCCCUCCCCUCCACCGGGCCCCAUCAGCAGUCAGUCCUUGCAAAUGCACCCAGACAUGUGGCAAGGUUAAGUGCUCCCCAGCCCGAAAUGGUGCUCACAGCUGGACUCCGGGCACCCUGGGAGGCUGAGUCAGGAAGAUGACAUGUUGUAGUCAUUCCCCGUAGAGCUUAGUAAGACCCUGUCUCAAAAGAAAAAUUUAAAAAGACAGGGGAUGUAGCUCAGCACAAGGGCCCUGGGUUCAAUCUUCAGUCCUGGGGGGUAAAAAAAGUCAAGUGCUCGCCAAAUCAACAAACUCCCUUCUCCCUUUCUAUCUUGUCCCUUUUCUUCCUUUCAAUAGUAAAUUCCUGCCAGGCUGGACAUGGUUCUGGUUUCAAAGACUAAACGAAGGGAUACAAGGUGGGUUUGGGCUUUUUUUGUUGUUGCUUAUUUGUUUGUUUUUUGGUACUGGGAAUAGAACUCAGGACCUUGUGCUUGUGAGGCAGGUGGUGGAACCACUGAACUAAAUCCCUGCCCCCCGUUUUUUUUGAGACAGGGUCUCACUAUGCUGUUCAGAUUGACCUUAAACUCACUAUGUAGCCCAGGCUGGCCUCAAACUUGCAGCAGUCCUCCUGCCUCAGCCUCCCAAGUGCUGGGAUUAUAGGGCAUGCACUACCAUACCCUCUGAGUUUAACCACUGAGCUCAGCUCCCUGGCUCAUCUUCAUACUUUAGGAUAAAGAAAACAUCUUUCACCCGGGUGCAGUGGCACAAGCCUAUAAUCCCAGCACUCUAGGAGGCUGAGGCAGGAGGAUUGCAAAUUCUAGCCCGGCCUGGGCAAUUUAGACUUAAUGAGACCCUAUCUCAAAAGAAAAAAAGAAAAAGGACAGGGAUGUAGCUCAGUGCAAAAGGCCCUGCGUGCAAUCCCCAAUACAAAAUGAUGAUGAUGGUGGUGGAGGUGGUGACGAUGAUGGGAGAAAGGAAGAGAGGGAAGGAAGGAAGGACUUCUCCACACCCUCUACCAAGCCUAGCAGGGCCAGGCUGACCUCCUUGCCUCUCAGUUUUCACAGGUUUCUGAAAAAGGCAGCUCUUUCUCAUGCUUGGGGCCUUUGCAAGUCCUGUUCCCAGCUGCUCUGGCCCUGAUCCGGUGCCUUCCCAGCCCACCCUGCCUCUCCUCCAGUGCUGGCACAAAAAAUACCCAAACCUGCCUGGCAUGGGUGACACAUGUCUGUAAUUCCAGCCGGCACUCAGGAGGCUGAAGCAGGAGGAUCACUGUGAGUUCAAAACCAACCUGAGCUACAAAGUGAGACCCUGUCUCAAAAAAAUCAAACAACAACAACAGAAAACACAAAAUAGCCUCUGGGCCUUCGUCCCCUCUACCAGCAGCUAGGUGGGGCAGUAGCUGAGGGCUGAGGCUCUGCCCUUCUCUCUUCCGGAGGGAAAGGCCAGGCCUUUCUUCUCUAGCAGACCGGCAGGGCCCUCCCUUGUUCUGCAGAGUUGAAGGCUCACACCUUCUCACAGGGGCAUUCAGAGAAGGGGACCCCCUGCGGACGGUCCGGAUGGGACAGGAAGCAGCCGGC
rnacentral:lncRNA from 1 species